CACGUAGGGCGCAAGCGUUGUCCGGAAUUAUUGGGCCUAAAGCAUCCGUAGCCGGUUCUACAAGUCUUCCGUUAAAUCCACCUGCUUAACAGAUGGGCUGCGGAGGAUACUAUGGAGCUAGGAGGCGGGAGAGGCAAGCGGUACUUAGUGGGUAGGGGUAAAAUCCGUUGAUCCAUUGAAGACCACCAGUGGCGAAGGCGGCUUGCCAGAACGCACUCGACGGUGAGGGAUGAAAGCUGGGGGAGCAAACCGG
rnacentral:rRNA from 1 species